GAUGAACGCUAGCGGGAGGCCUAACACAUGCAAGCCGAGCGGUGGAGUUCCUUCGGGAACUUGAGAGCGGCGUACGGGUGCGUAACACGUGUGCAACCUACCUUUAUCUGGGGGAUAGCCUUUCGAAAGGAAGAUUAAUACCCCAUAAUAUAAUGAUUGGCAUCAAUUAUUAUUGAAAACUCCGGUGGAUAGAGAUGGGCACGCGCAAGAUUAGAUAGUUGGUGAGGUAACGGCUCACCAAGUCAAUGAUCUUUAGGGGUCCUGAGAGGGAGAUCCCCCACACUGGUACUGAGACACGGACCAGACUCCUACGGGAGGCAGCAGUGAGGAAUAUUGGACAAUGGGUGAAAGCCUGAUCCAGCCAUCCCGCGUGAAGGAUGACGGUCCUAUGGAUUGUAAACUUCUUUUGUACAGGGAUAAACCUACUCUCGUGAGGGUAGCUGAAGGUACUGUACGAAUAAGCACCGGCUAACUCCGUG
rnacentral:rRNA from 1 species